GGGUGUACAGCACAGAGUGUUGGUGUACAGGACAGAGUGUUGGUGUACAGGACAGAGUGUUGGUGUACAGGACAGAGUGUUGGUGUACAGGACAGAGUGUUGGUGUACAGGACAGAGUGUUGGUGUACAGGA